GAUGAACGCUGGCGGCGUGCCUAAUACAUGCAAGUCGAGCGAACGGACGAGAAGCUUGCUUCUCUGAUGUUAGCGGCGGACGGGUGAGUAACACGUGGAUAACCUACCUAUAAGACUGGGAUAACUUCGGGAAACCGGAGCUAAUCCCGGAUAAUAUUUUGCACCGCAUGGUUCAAAAGUGAAAGACGGUCUUGCUGUCACUUAUCGAUGGAUCUGCGCUGCAUUAGCUAGUUGGUAAGGUAACGGCUUACCAAGGCAACGAUGCAUAGCCGACCGGAGAGGGUGGUCGGCCACACUGGAGCGGAGACACGGUCCAGACUCCUACGAGAGGCAGCAGUAGGGAAUCUUACGCAAUGGGCGAAAGCCUGACGGAGCAACGCCGCGUGAGUGAUGAAGGUCUUCGGAUCGGAAAACUCUGUUAUUAGGGAAGAACAGAUGUGUAAGUAACUGUGCACAUCUUGACGGUACCUAAUCAGAAAGCCACGGCUAACUACGUG
rnacentral:rRNA from 1 species